AAUGAGUAGCUGUGAUCUCUUCUAGUCCUUUCUCAAUCCUGAAAUCCUGACUGCUAAGGGCGUGGAAACAUGGGUGAUCAUGAAAAGCUCCAAACAGAAGAGUUAGGCAACCUGUAAGGAGAUUCCAAUGUGGAACAAUUCAACCCUUAUUGGAAAAGAUAUGGAUUUUGUCCUGUUACCAACAGCUCUCUGCUGUGGCCUGGAAAAGCAGCAGAAGAUGGCCCAAGUGCGUGGGCCCCUGCAUCCGCAUUGGAGACCUGGAAGAAGCACCUGGAUCUUGGCUUCAGAUCGGCACAGCUCUGGCUGUUGGCAGCCACUUGGGGAGAGAACCAACGGAAGGAAGACCUUUGUCUCUUCCUCUCACUGUCUGUAACUCUACUGCUCAAAUAAAUAAAUAAAAUCUUUAAAAAAAAA